GGACCCGAUUGUGUGUCUGUAAAUGCGAACGGCAUAUGGACCAACGAAUGUUGUUACACCCGCCAUCCUGCUAUUUGUGAAACUGGGCCCAUCGGCGAUCCCGAGUGCGAUGAUGUUAGUGGGUACGUCUUCUUCCAAGAUCGUUGCCUGAGGUUUAUAACCAAUCCGGAUUCCUUUGAAGCCCAAUGCAAAGAAUGCAGAAGGCUCAAAGGUCGCCUAGCCCCAUCUCUGAACGAAGCACAAAAUAAAGCUCUGCUUGCAUUCUACAAAUCUGAAUCGCCAGCCAACGGCAAGCCAGCAUGGUUUAACCUACACAAUCUCAUCUCGAGUAGUAACUAUCAAACCACUGAACUUCUCACGUCGACUUUCUCUAAACUUCCUGCCAAAACUUCAGACAGUGAUCGAUGUGUGAACAUAGGGUCUGGCGGAUGGGGAAAAGAGUGUUGCCACGAUAAACUUCCUGCAAUAUGUGAACUGAAUCGUUAGCAAAUAAGCGAUUUUGA